CAUUUGUUCUUCAUGGGUUCCAAAUCCAAAUAUUUAACAGGAUAUUUUUGAUCAUGCCACCAUACUGAACAAAAGCAGCCAAGAGGUGACUCAGGUGAAACCCCAUGACUCUGUCAGCAGCAAAAUUCUGCAUCUCUUGAUAUUUCACCCCUAGGGAUGAAAGGUGCACCUGAGGCAUGGAAAUACAGCAAAAUACCAUCAGAUUAUGAAAUUCUCUAUCAAGACAGUGACAAAAAGUACUGCAAAAGUUCUGUUUGCUGUGAGCCACGCUGGUUUUAGAAGGGGCCCAACUCUUCCUGACUUACAGAAACUCUUGAUGAUUUCCUCAGCUGCAUUGUAGCUGGAUGCUGACUCUGAUUAGGAAGGGGUGAGAAGGAAAUGAACAAUUUAGCACAACUAACAAGUAUACCAAGACCACCCUUUAUUGAAGAAGGGAUUCUGAAAGAGUGACCUUAAGCUCUUGGUGCUAAAUCAGAGUUCAGGUUCAAGAAGGUGAGAUAAUCUUCCUGUGUCUCCUUUUUAAUGAUUGGAAAAUUGAAACAUUUCCUUCAGAGUUGCUUUGAACCCUUCUUUGCCUCAAAAACUCUUCUUCCCAGAAGGAUUCUGAAUUUCUCCACUGGCUGUACAGGGCAGAUGCAAAUUCAAAUACCAGGUGCAAAGUACCAGAGAUGAGGUCCACAAGCAAUUUUGGAGGCAAUCAUCUCCAGCUUUGCAGCCAGGAAAUGUUGCAUUCAAAACAAAGUGAUCAUCAGGAGGAAACCAGAAUUUUUCAGGCAACCUCUUCCAUCCUCUGUUUAAGGAAAACUUUGAUAUUGGGGUAUGAAUCUAGAUGCAAGUCAUGGUUAAAAGGGUUUUCUUUCAUGGCACCACUUUAUUAUAAACAAUAUUGAAUUUUGAGUAGAAAGACACAAUGGUAAGCCAGAUCUGGGUAGGAAAUUUGAUCUUAAUCUUACAGAAGGACAGAAAACUUUACUUUUCCCUCACUUAUUUCAGACUCAAAGAAAGCUGUUGGUUUUCUCUCAAAAGAAUUGGGCAGCCAAAGAGGUCUAAAACAUACAGAACAUCCAAAGCAGUUAAGCUGACAUUGCCAGAGUAAAUUUACUUGUGAGAUGUAGGAAUCUUAAAACCUGGAUGUCAGCUUAAUACUUAAACUUCUUGACUGUGGGGAGAUUUUAUAUUUGUAUAGACAUGCAUAUAUAUAUAUUUAUGAAAAUAUUUUCAGUAGUAGAAGGAAUUAUCACCUGUAAAGCAAGAAAGACUUCCAGAGCAGAGGUCCUGGAUUGUGCAGGUUUUCCUUGAUCACAAAAAAAAGUUAAUUCAGUGAUUAUCACUUGUGCAGGCAAUCAGCUUAAAUUUCUGAAAGCUAGACCAGGUUUGAGAUGGGCAGUGCAGUGAAAAUCAACAAGAUGAUGUGAUGUUUCACAUUUAGCUAAAAUCAAAUUACCAAUUAACUACUGUUUGCAUCAGAAGCUGUUCAAGAAAAAUGGGGUAGUUAGAUUAUAUGUCACUUCUCAACCCAGAGCAUUUAAUUUCUGCCUCUCUCUGAUCUGAAAGAUUGUAUUUUUGAAUGUAAAUUUUGCAUAAGAAGUUCAAUGGAAAGAUCAUAUGUCUUUUUUUUCCUGCAUAACUCUAAGCAGUAACAGUCAGGAAUGGUUUGUGUUUAAGUGAGAAAAGCUACAGAGAGGAAUAAAGACUGAACUGACUUGGACUGUACUAUCAGAAGGAUUUAAAAAUAGCCCUACAAUUUUUGGGAAUCAACUGAGAAAGGAAUUAGAGGAAUGGAGUUCUUUAAUCUGCAAGGGGCUCAGUCACAAUAGGUUGAUGAUAUCCUGAUAGCCACCAGAACUAAGAGCAGAAUUGUUAAAUUUGGGAUUAAAUGGGCACAGCACAUCAAGGAAGAACGCCCAAGUGAUGAAGAAAACUGUGACCUUUCUGGGUUUUGAAAUUCUCUGAGGUCAAAUGAAGCUGAGCACAGAAAGAUUAAAGAGCUGUCUGCCAAAUCCCAGAGCAGCAAGCUGUAAGAGAAUUGUGUGCCCUUCUUGGAAUGGUGGAUUGGUAAUUACGGGCUGCCAGUUCAUGUGGGCUUUUAAAAACUGCCCAGAAAGAUUUUAUUAAAUGGGUUGAUCAUACUCAGGCUGUGCUCUAACAACUCAAGAAAGCACUGAUGAGGGCUCCAGCUUCAGACUUGCCAGAUUGCAGGAGAUCUUUUGAAUUAUUCUCUUAUGAGGGACAAAAUACUGCCUUGGGAGUUCCAGCACAAUCCCAGGGGAGCAGAGACCAGCCAGGGAAUGCCUUUAACAGCUUGAUGACACUGCCCUCAAAACCACCAGGGUUACACUGCCCUCAAAACCACCUCUGCUGCUGAUCCUGCUGUGUUUCUGUUGGCCACCAAAGGGGGAAGUGCUCCAGAACAUGACUGGCUGGAAACACUGGAAGGAGUUUAUUCCAGCUGACUGGAUUUAAGAGACAGCCUGAGAGAGAGCCCAGACUGGGAGCUCUGUGCAGACAGAAGCAGCUUUGUUUGCAGUGGAAAACACAUGUCAGGAUGUGUGCUGACUACCCAGAGCCAGGUCUGAGCAUUCAGGACCAGAGUUCCUGAGCUUGUCCUGCUCAGAUCAUGAGGAAGAGAAGACACUUGCAGCUGUGACUAAAAGGGUGUGGUACUUGCAGGAUAUUUUAGUCAGUGCUCCCUGGAAAGGGCAGAAAUAAAACCUUAGAUGAGCAAUUACACAUAAACCAGAUGGCAAGGAUGUUUUUAUUUAGCACUAAUCUAAACUCCUUGAGGGCUAAGAGUAAGCUGGACAGUCUUCUGCAGUGCUUUUAUGAAACAAGAGAUAAAUGGACUAAACCACAGUUGCUAGUGUAUGAUUUGAAUGUGUUCCAGUAUGUCACACAAAGAAUAGAUUUUUUUAUUUCCACUUAAUGUUGUGGGAGUAAUUUUCCUGCUAUUUUUUUUUUUUCUAAUGGAGUCUAUAGAGCACAUUUAUUAUUCUGCUGGUGUGGUGACUAGUUAGGAAGCUGUUCUUCAUGUUUUAUUCCUGGUCUUGCAAAACUGCUGAGAAUGCUAAAUCCAGUAAAGCAUGCACAGAGUUCCCUGGUUCACCCAUCACAGUUUUGUGUGUGCAUUUGUGGGGU